rnacentral:rRNA from 1 species
CAGUCGCCGCGGUAAUACGUAGGUGGCAAGCGUUGUCCGGAAUUAUUGGGCGUAAAGGGCUCGCAGGCGGUUUCUUAAGUCUGAUGUGAAAGCCCCCGGCUCAACCGGGGAGGGUCAUUGGAAACUGGGAAACUUGAGUGCAGAAGAGGAGAGUGGAAUUCCACGUGUAGCGGUGAAAUGCGUAGAGAUGUGGAGGAACACCAGUGGCGAAGGCGACUCUCUGGUCUGUAACUGACGCUGAGGAGCGAAAGCGUGGGGAGCGAACAGGAUUAGAUACCCUGUAGUCCCUGUCUCUUAUACA